GACGAACGCUGGCGGCGUGCUUAACACAUGCAAGUCGAACGGUGACGAGGAGCUUGCUCCUCUGAUCAGUGGCGAACGGGUGAGUAACACGUGAGCAACCUGCCCCAGACUCUGGGAUAACAGUUGGAAACAGCUGCUAAUACCGGAUACGAGACGGAGAGGCAUCUCUACCGUCUGGAAAGUUUUUCGGUCUGGGAUGGACUCGCGGCCUAUCAGCUAGUUGGUGAGGUAAUUGCUCACCAAGGCGACGACGGGUAGCCGGCCUGAGAGGGCGACCGGCCACACUGGGACUGAGACACGGCCCAGACUCCUACGGGAGGCAGCAGUGGGGAAUAUUGCACAAUGGGCGAAAGCCUGAUGCAGCGACGCCGCGUGAGGGAUGACGGCCUCGGUUGUAACCGUACUUUCUAGCAGGAAGAAGACGAAAGUAGACGGUACGUCGCAGAAGAAGACACGGCUAACUACGUAGCCAGCAGCCGCGGUAAUACGU
rnacentral:rRNA from 1 species